AUUGAACGCUGGCGGCAUGCCUUACACAUGCAAGUCGAACGGCAGCACGGGAGCAAUCCUGGUGGCGAGUGGCGAACGGGUGAGUAAAGUAUCGGAACGUGCCCAGUCGUGGGGGAUAACGUAGCGAAAGUUACGCUAAUACCGCAUACGAUCUAUGGAUGAAAGCGGGGGAUCGCAAGACCUCGCGCGAUUGGAGCGGCCGAUAUCAGAUUAGGUAGUUGGUGGGGUAAAGGCUCACCAAGCCGACGAUCUGUAGCUGGUCUGAGAGGACGACCAGCCACACUGGGACUGAGACACGGCCCAGACUCCUACGGGAGGCAGCAGUGGGGAAUUUUGGACAAUGGGCGCAAGCCUGAUCCAGCCAUGCCGCGUGCAGGAUGAAGGCCUUCGGGUUGUAAACUGCUUUUGUACGGAACGAAAAGGUUUGACUUAAUACGUUGGACUCAUGACGGUACCGUAAGAAUAAGCACCGGCUAACUAC
rnacentral:rRNA from 1 species